rnacentral:rRNA from 1 species
UACGAAGGGGGGCUAGCGUUGCUCGGAAUUACUGGGCGUAAAGGGCGCGUAGGCGGACAGUUUAGUCGGGGGUGAAAGCCCGGGGCUCAACCUCGGAAUUGCCUUCGAUACUGGCUGUCUUGAGUACGGGAGAGGUGUGUGGAACUCCGAGUGUAGAGGUGAAAUUCGUAGAUAUUCGGAAGAACACCAGUGGCGAAGGCGACACACUGGCCCGUUACUGACGCUGAGGCGCGAAAGCGUGGGGAGCAAAACAGG